AGUGAACGCUGGCGGUAGGCCUAACACAUGCAAGUCGAACGGCAGCACAGUAAGAGCUUGCUCUUACGGGUGGCGAGUGGCGGACGGGUGAGGAAUACAUCGGAAUCUACUUUUUCGUGGGGGAUAACGUAGGGAAACUUACGCUAAUACCGCAUACGACCUACGGGUGAAAGCAGGGGAUCUUCGGACCUUGCGCGAUUGAAUGAGCCGAUGUCGGAUUAGCUAGUUGGCGGGGUAAAGGCCCACCAAGGCGACGAUCCGUAGCUGGUAUGAGAGGAUGGUCCGCCCCGCUGGAAAUGAGAACCGGUCCCGACUCCUACGGGGGGCAGGCGUGGGGAAUAUUGGACAAUGGGCGCAAGCCUGAUCCAGCCAUACCGCGUGGGUGAAGAAGGCCUUCGGGUUGUAAAGCCCUUUUGUUGGGAAAGAAAAGCAGCAGGUUAAUACCCCGCUGUUCUGACGGUACCCAAAGAAUAAGCACCGGCUAACUUCGUG
rnacentral:rRNA from 1 species